AACGAACGCUGGCGGCGUGCCUAACACAUGCAAGUCGAACGAGAAAGGGGCUUCGGCUCCGAGUAAAGUGGCGCACGGGUGAGUAACACGUGGGUAACCUGCCUCUAAGAUUGGGAUAACUCGUCGAAAGAUGAGCUAAUACCGAAUAAGACCACAGUUCCCGCGGGAACAGGGGUCAAAGGUAGCCUCUGCUUGCAAGCUAUCACUUAGAGAUGGGCCUGCGCACCAUUAGCUAGUUGGUAGGGUAACGGCCUACCAAGGCAAAGAUGGUUAGCUGGUCUGAGAGGAUGAACAGCCACACUGGAACUGAGACACGGGCCAGACUCCUACGGGAGGCAGCAGUGGGGAAUAUUGCGCAAUGGGGGAAAGCUUGACGCAGCAACGCCGCGUGAGUGAUGAAGGCCUUCGGGUCGUAAAGCUCUGUCGGGAGGAACGAAUGCUCCUGAGGUUAACAGCCUCGGGAGGUGACGGUACCUUCAAAGGAAGCACCGGCUAACUCGGUG
rnacentral:rRNA from 1 species